rnacentral:misc_RNA from 1 species
UGAGGAGUAAAAACAAACCAAAGUCAAGAGAAAUUUCGACACCCAUUUACGUGUUAUAUUAGUGUAAAUUUACGUAUAUUACUCAAACUUAAUCAGUCAUGGUUGAACCAAUCUUUGACUAUCAGUUCCGAUUAAUACUAAUAGGAGAUUCAACUGUGGGGAAGAGUUCUUUGUUAAAAUAUUUCACAGACGGCAAGUUCUUUGAGAUAUCUGACCCCACUGUUGGCGUUGACUUCUUUGCUCGACUUAUUGAAGUGAGAGACGGCACAAGAAUAAAAUUGCAAUUAUGGGACACAGCUGGCCAAGAGAGAUUUAGGUCCAUCACACGUACUUAUUAUCGAAAUUCUGUGGGAGCAUUAGUAGUGUUUGAUGUAUGCAACAAAAAAUCUCUGGAGCACGUUCCCAUGUGGAUUAUGGAAGCCAAGCGACACAUCGAACCUCACAAAUCUGUAUUUAUCCUCGUUGGUACAAAGAUUGAUAUGGAGGAUGAACGUGAGGUGAGAAAAGAGGACGCUAUGUCUUUAGCAAAGUUCUAUAACAUCAGCUACGUUGAAACAAGCUCAAUGAAAGGAAUCAAUGUGGAAGAGGCAUUCAGAACUAUCACACAAGAAGUGUAUGAUAAGAUACAGUCUGGAGAGUUCAAAAUUGAGGAUGGCUGGGACGGCAUCAAGACGGGGUUCUCUCGACCUAGCCCUUCCUACAGCUUAAUGGAAGCCGAAGCAGAAAAGUCUGGAUUUUGUUGCUAGAAAGCUACAAAAUACUGUGUGUUGGAAGCUUCUUUAGAAAAUAUAUUUAAUUUAUUUAAGAUACAGGGACUUCCUGAUCAUGUUUGAGCUAAAACGGUAGCAAAAUCAGUUUCCACUGUCAAGAGACAGGACUUUGUGAUGUCAUCAGGAAUAUGUAUGUAUUUUUUCUUCUGUACAUGUUUUAUUUUGAUCUUAUUCCUUAAUAUUUUCAAAAUGAAAAUACUUUUUGAUCAUGCAAAUUAUAUUUCACUUGAGGAUUAGUGUUACGUAUGGAUUGGUUUUAUGUAUGUACUGACAAUUAUUUUCUUUUAUGAUAUUUAAAGGAAGCCAUUUUGGACAGUUGUUACUUUAAUAUAGAUAAUGGAAAUACAAAUUUUGGAGCACCAUAGGUCAGUUAGUAGCACUUGGACUCCCAGCCCACAAGAAACAGAUUCAUUCUUCUUAUGACCAGGCAGGGUUGAUGAGGCAUUAUUUAUUGUACAGGUAGUGUGCACUCGAGCUGGCCACUCACCACGUCAGAUUCCCAGGCUAUCCUAACCUUCUUUACUUGAAGGUCACCAGCCUGUAAAUUGUGGAAAACACUAUAAAGUAUAUUUUUAGAACUAAAAAUUUAUGGUUAAUGAAUAUAUUAGCUCAUACUGCUCUGAAUUGCACAUCAGCUAAGCACCUUAGUCUCCCAUUGUUCUGUUCUGAAGGAAUGAGAUAAUGACAGGUGAGGACAUACCUUAGCAUGAAGUGAAUGGUUUUCAAGGGAUCAAGAGUAGAUAGAAGUGUCUCAUAAGAUCUUAAAAAGAGAGAAUGAGGGUGAUGAGGAAUGAUAAACUUGUAGCAUACAUGCAGGCAUGUAUACACUGUGCACUUUCAAGUCAUAUGUAAAUAAGUCAGUGUAAGUGAAAUAUGAGAAACCUUAUUGAGGAGCGUUUUGUUGAAGCUCUCGAGAAGUAAGUAUAUACCGUACCAUAUUUUGUUGCUUUGGGGCAAAAUUGUUGUAACUCCUUGAAAUUUGUUGAUAUAUAUGGCAAAUUAACCUAAUUUGUUGGUAUUUCACCAAUUUCCUGCGUCAGAUCUUUUAUUAAUGUGAGGAUGACUUACUUUAUCUGUGCACAUUUUAUUCAGAAUGUGGAAUUACAACAUUUAGGCACUAAGGCAUUGAUUUGCUGUAGGUUUUAUAAAUGGAAUGCAAAAGUUUGAGUAUUAUUUUUAAGGUAACUUUUGCAGUUUUAAUAAUACAAAUCAGUAUCUUAUGUAUGCAACUAAUGUGAAUAUAACUUAUAUAGUCAUUUUUAUGCAUAUAUACACAUUCAAAUACUGUACAGUACAGUACAUUCUUUUACUCUUCAGAGUUAUGUAUUGUUCCACUAAUCAAAUCCAAAAGUUUUCACCAUAUCAAUUUACUGCACUUUUGGAUUUAUUUUAGAGUAAUAAUCUGUGGAUGAGUUAUUGAAAAGUGACCUUUAUCUUACCAUUUCCAGAUAUAUGCCAGAUCUCAUAAGGUUUAUUUAAACUCAGCUAACAGUCAUGGUACUCUGUUAAACAUGGUUUUCAUUCAAAUGGUGUUGGUUGUUGAAACUGAUUCAGUUUUACAAGUUAUAUUAAAAUACAUCGAAAAGACACUAGGUAUGCAUGGAGGAGUCCUACACCAUUGCAUCCAUAGUGAUGGUUGUGAACUUUUCUUCAAAAGCACAAUAACUUUAGGUAAAAAUAAUCUUAGUGCAAUCUCAACCCUCUUGUGGUUCAUACAAAAGUGAUGUAUGUGAUCAUCAUAGAAGAAACAAAUCUCAUCUAUGUAAUUUUGAUCUUUUCACUUCUUCAUAUGAUCCAUAUUUCUUAUUUACUAAUGCUAAAAUACAAAGUCUAAAUUAUAUAUCCAUUCAUUUUACUUAUCUGAAUUAUUAUUUUAUUAUUAUUAUUAUUAUUAUUAUUAUUAUUAUUAUUAUUAUUAUUAUUAUUAUUAUUAUUAUUACAUUUUUGGCCUCGAUGUGGGUUAGUGACCUGUGCCCGGGUGGGCUAGUCCCCAUAAAAAAAAAGAAUAGAAAAGAGAUACCCAUAGUAAGUACAUUGUAGUUUUAUGGGCUCUGUCUUGCACAAAAUUGCAAUAUUGGAGGUGGUGGACUCGUCUCUUUGUUAUGACUAGGCACUUCAUAGUGUGAGCUGACAGCAGCUAUUUUGUGUCUGUAAUGCAAAAUAUAUUGUGCUGCAAUGUAGUGAUACUUUACAGUGUGAUAUUGUUUCCAAUAAAACUUUUUCUUCUAAGAUGAAAUACUAUGCCAUAUUCUUCCUGGUAGUAAGAGAAGAAUGCUUUGUGGAUUUGUAUUGAUAUAUAUUAACCUGUGUUUCAUACUUAAAUAAGGGCAGCAUAUUUAGUGUCUUGACGACUCUCUUCAUCUUGGCUCCUUAUCGUGCCAGAUGCCCUACUGUAUUGCUCAACACCUUACCAAUAAUUUCUGGUUGCUUCUUUAGCAUAGAAUAACUAAAACAAAGGUCUCAUCCUUGCACUGUAGGAUGCGACGCCCAUAAACAUCUCAAACCAGAAAAAGACUUAAUUGGUGUGGGUAAAUUCAACACUUACACGAAAAAUAAAUAUGAACAUAGAAACUACUUAAAAGAAUGGGAUGGAAAUUUGUGUGUGUUGAGUUGAAGAUUGUGCAGUGAGGGUAGAUUCACUAUUUGGUAUUAGUAAUUGGUACUGGUAAUUGUUUUUAAGUAACUGCUCAGGAAUAAGCAGGUUUGUGGUUAUGGUAAUGUCAUCAUUCAGUGCCAGGAAUCCCCCAGAAAGAAAUUCAUUAUCCUAACUACCUUGUAGUAGACAAAUAUUAAAUUUUUUCAUGACAUAGCAAGUUAUAAAUUGUUUUUAAGAAAAUUUCCUGACAGGCUUUCUGUUGAUAAAGUUGUUUUCUUACUACAGUAUAUAAAUGUAAGAGACAGGGUAUUGGAAGUCGAUAUAUUUAUUUUUUAUUUUUUUUUAUUUUUUUUUAUCGCCUUUAUGCAUUACAGUAUCUAGGUUAAAACUACUGUAGUUGUUAAUUUUUUCCCAAAGAGUGACCAGAGCAGCUCAGCAUAUCAAUAAUGCACCAAAGCCUCUCAAAUACUUGGUCCAACAAAUAUAUGGUAUUUUCAGAACACAUUUAACUUCACUAUUUUGCUCUGAAAAUUUGAGUCACUGAAGCACAAUAAUUUAUGCCAAGACUUCCGAGACACUCUUAUGGUUGUAAUUUUUAUAUACCUGUACUUUAAUUUCUAUGAAGAUCUGUAUACUGUAUUUACUAGCUGGUAAUUUUAAUUUCUAUAGUGUGCAUAACAUAGGAGACUUUUAACAUAAGCUAUAUCAGAUGCAUGAAAACUGUUAGAGUAGAGAGCAUAGUUGUCCAUAGUGAUAUGGGUUGGGUGAUGUCCCUCUGCAGUACCUUAGGUAAGAGAAUGUCGGGCAUGAAAACAACUACCGCCAACCCUUGAACUUGUAAAAAUAAUAAGCUAUAUUUAAAAGUUAUAAAACCUAACAUAACUUCAACCUAGGUUAGGUCAGGUUUUAUUACUUGUAAAUGAGUCUUGUUAUUUUUGUAAUGGACUUUGGUGGCAGUGCCUUUCAUACCUGAUGUAGCCGAACAGUUAUUACUAUAAGUAAGGAUCCUGGCUACUACACAUGUAUUUAUCCAGAUAAAUUAUCCAAAUACUCAUAUGCAUAUUCUAUUUUUAUUAAUAUACAUAAGUAUUGAUAGAAAGUAAUGUAAUACUGUAUUUCACUUUGGUCAUUGCUCACUACUGUACACUGCUGAGGCCACCAUCAGUCAGUUCACUCGCUUUUUCUUUUUUAACACAGUAGUUACUUGUUGAUGUUGAUGUAACAUAGUUGUGCUUUAAGAAUGAUUAAAUAUGCAGUCAUAGUGCAGGUAGAUAGUUUUAGGGAAAGCAAAUAUAUAGUAUACCAAAUACAUAUUGUAUUUAUGAAAAGUGUAAAUGUUUUGGGAUUUUAUUUUAGAUUUUAACCUGCUGAAAAUUUUCAUACAUGUGAAUGUCUUUUAUAAUUUUGUAAUGUUUUUCUAAUAUGGAAUUUAACAUUCUCUUGAUCUUGUAAAUCCAGUGUUGCUGUUUUUUUCCUGUUCAUGAAAAUGUUACCAGUCUAUAUGAAAAGUUUGGUUGUGUGAGGGAACAGGAGUAAACCAGAUAAAUACUUGGGUGUUGUGGAAGGGGAGUACCACAUCAGUAAGAAUGACUAAUUGACUGUGAGUGAAGGGAUAUUGUGUGUGCGUGUAUGUGUGUGUGUGAUCUAUGCUCCAGCCUCCUGAAUCAUACUGAGAACAGACAUGAAAGACUGGGAAAGAUAAAGGGAAAACUGUUUGAUUUAAUUUUGAGGUUUAAAUUGCUUGACACUGUUAAUAAAUCAGAUUUUAAGCUUUUUGAAGUCUUUAUAGCAAAGACUGCAAGGAAGUUGAGCAUUUAGACUAAGUAAAAUAUUUUUCAUUUAAACAGUACUUAAGUAAUUUAUGAAUAAUCAUACACUAUAUCAGACAAACAUUCCCUCACUGCUUUUUUUUUUUUGCAACUAUUGUUCCAAUAAUAUGAACAAAUGUAAAGGAUUUGCAAACUUAAACUGCAUGAAGAAUUGAUGCCUAUAUAAUAAAAUAAUUACUAAGUCUGUACAGUACAGUAAAACUAACUGUUAAAUUGUACAGGUUGAAGGUAUGAGAAAAGACUAUGUAAGGAGAGGAGUAAAAAAAUAAUAAUAAAUGAAUAGAACUGGACCAGAUCUUUGGCAUUGUUUUGGCUGAAACAUUAGAUUUUUUUUUAAUGUUACCAGGAUUGUCUAACUGAUAGUAUAAAAAAAAAGGUUUAUUAUUAUGGUUAGUUGUAGGAACAUAUACAAGUACUUUGAUUCAGCAGUUGCAGAAGCAUUCACACUGUUGAAUGAAUGAGAAAAUUGUCAUGUGUUACUUUGGGCUACAAGGUUCCCACAUGUUUGUCACUUUUAUCUUACACUAAGUAGAUGGACACACAUUUUCAUUUAGUUGUUGGACAGUCUUGUAAAUUUACUUCUGUAAAUACUGUAUACAGCAGUUUUUAUUCAUCUUCAUCCUUAUAAAUAUAUGAUGUUGCAUAGGUGUAUGAAUGCAUGUAUGUACAGCCAGAAGCAGUAAUUGCUACCACCCCCUAGUGGCUCAGGCCACAGUCAGUGAAGGCCAGUAUUGAUACACUGCUACAAUGCCAGCCACGGUAGUUCUAAAACCACCCAGAAAUGUUUAGACGGGAGGGGGGGAAGGGAAAAGAGUUUUGUCCGAUCACCAGUCUUUUACUUGCCAUGGCUCUGGCUACUAGGGGGUGGUAGCAAUUAAAGUUCCUGACUACAGUAUAUGCAGAGGGGUGUUAAGAUUAAAUAGGAGUUAAAUGUACAUACUCAAGGUGUUUAACCUUAAUUUUCAUUUUAAAUCUUAAAUGCAGAGCAUUUGUAAUAUUUAUAAGUCUCAGGAAGGUAAAGGAUGAGCAAUAUGAAAACUUACAGUUGACUCUGGGGAUCCCAUAUGACAACCAUGAUUCUGAUUUGUUCAGAUGUAGAACAUUAAUGAAACAGUAAAAUUACAGGUACCGUAUUAAUAAUUCAGUGUUUUAAUUUUAAAGUGGCUCUUAACCAAAGUGACCAAUUCAGCUUAGUUAAAUUGUUCAGAGAACCAAAUUUUAACUCCUUGGAAAAAAUAUAAUGCUGUAAUAUUAGUUAAUCUGAAAACUCAGCUGUAUUCAACACUUCAGUUUAUUGUGUUUGUUAUAAUUAUUUACAGCAUAGGAGCCGAGGACCUGUUGAUCCCCAGCCUCUUCAAAUCCUUUAUGGUCUUUUAUCCAGAUUAUUUUAUUAGAAGUAUAAGUCUUAAAGUCACCAUAACAAUGACCUACUGGAGAUGUUGGUCCCCAAGCUAAAUAAUAGAUGUAGGUACAGCACUUGGCAACAAUGCUCAAUAAAAACAGCAGUGAGAAAUUAGAGUACUGUAACUGAUAACAAACAAUAUUUAAGAGAGCCUGGAGGUGUUACAAGAACCUUGGUACAGUAAAUAGAAACAAAGGAAUGUACACAGGAAUAUGAAAGACUAAGGUGGUACUGGCAUGAAUAAUGAGUGAAAUGACAGGUUAGUGAUGAAAAUUGUGAUAUUGGGUACUGUACCUAUGGUUAGACCAGAUGACAUGGCGAGUCACUGGAUAUGUCUGUGUGGGUGUUUCAUGUGAUAUUUCAAAGUAAAUUUCUGAGAUUGUUUUAUAGGAGACGUGUUUGUAAGAGUUGGUGCAGGUGCUAGUCUUACCUAAUGAGUGAGCAGCUUAGAAAAUGGAUUGAUAUUAAUUGUUUUAGUGAAGGUGGCACUUUUCAUACUCACAUAAGUGUGGUUACAUCUGAAGGUUUGUUGGGCUUUUUGCACUCAAUCAAUCCCAUUUUGUGUAUAUAUAUAUAUAUAUAUAUAUAUAUAUAUAUAUAUAUAUAUAUAUAUAUAUAUAUAUAUAUAUAUAUAUAUAUAUAUAUAUAUAUAUAUAUAUAUAUAUAUAUAUAUAUACAUACACACACACCCCUGUAUAUACUCAAGUAAUAAAAUACAAAAGAGUAAUACCAUACAUGUAUAUAGUCUUUAUAUAUUUCUGCCACUACUGUUCCUUCCAUUUACUAUAAUUUGUUGAUUUUUUUUCUUACUUGAUUUGCAUCUUCAUUCACAACAAUAAUAUGGUUAGAGAUAAGUUAUUGGCGUCUUUUAAGCAUCAACAGUGGGAAAAUAUUUAGGUAUAGCACUCGCCUUCACCCGGGUUGUAGGUGUCCCAAUAGCUUUGUUUUUAGUUUUACCGAGCACAUAUUUAAAAAAAAAUAAGGAUCAAGCAAUUUGCACAGUAAACCUUGUACUAGCUUUACCAGGCUUAUACCUUAUAACAUCAAGCAGGCAUAUCAAUGAAUUAUAUAGAAUAUGAAGUUCUUGUAAUGAGUAGAUUUUCCACUUUUUAUAUCAGGAGCUUGAAUGUUUUGUUUUUUAAUGUAAAAAUUGUACUGUAUAUCAUAAGACUUAAAUGAUGUAAACAAGUCUCAACAACAAUCACUAGGUGCUGCCUAGUGUGUAUGUAACUCAAUGCACUACCUCUCAACCCACUGUAUAGUUAUGCUGCAUGAUGUUUUUGUGUUAACACAUUGGUGUUUGUCAAAGGAAUAAUCACACAACUGUUGAAUUUGGAUUUACAUUAGGUAUAAACAGAUAGAUGGCUUAUGGAAGUUCUUUUUCUAACAAAUGUGUGUAAAUAUGAUUUUCUAUUGGACUUUGCAAUGUGUAAUGGCUACAUUUAGCAAUUUUAUACGCUGAAAAAAGUGUAAAUAUAUAUAAAUGAUGUAAAA